GGAGCAAAUAUUGCAGGACAGCACCAUAAAGGGCCUAUAGUUCUCAGAAAAGACAGUGUUUACAAUUACAGACUACAAGAACAGUCUAUUUGCACCAGAAUCCACUGAAGCCCCCCCAAACAAAACUCGUGUUUUAAAAGAGGUAAUAGAAUGGUGUUCACUCCUUCUUUUUUUUUUUUAAUGCAGCUAAAUAUAUAUUUGACUGUGAUGG